rnacentral:rRNA from 1 species
GAUCAUGGCUCAGGACGAACGCUGGCGGCGCGCCUAACACAUGCAAGUCGAACGAGCGAGAGAGAGCUUGCUUUCUCGAGCGAGUGGCGAACGGGUGAGUAACGCGUGAGGAACCUGCCUCAAAGAGGGGGACAACAGUUGGAAACGACUGCUAAUACCGCAUAAGCCCACGGCUCGGCAUCGAGCAGAGGGAAAAGGAGCAAUCCGCUUUGAGGUGCCGUCCGUCCGGUCCGGUACGUUAAGUACG